GUGAGCCUACACCACAUUGCGUUUAUUGAGUGGAUGUUUUUGCCCACUUAUGAUAACGGUGUGAUCCAGAUGCCUCGGACACCAGCCUUCCGAGUUGCAAGUGGGGAAAUCUCCCAGCUUCCUUGUGUCAUUUCACAGAGGCACGCCCCCUUUUGGUCUGCGCCCGUAAAGAGAUUUAUUUUCUUUGUAUUUGUAUCACGUUGGUCAUUUAAAUGCUCUUACACACUUGAUUACAUUGUAACUUUAUUCCAGUCACCAAUCAAUGCAUUGCACGGUCUUGCUGUGCGUGCAAUACAAUGUAAAGUUGUGUUGUUGGUUUUUCGAGCUGGGUUGCUAAAGAGGCUAAUGUAGCUAACAAUACACAACGACUAGCCAAUUUCAUGACACAAUCACAAAGACGAACGGGAACGCUAAAAGUGCUCCAAGACCGGCAACUCGGAAGGCUGGCGUCCGAGGCAUCUGGAUCACCCCAGAUGCAGACCGGUUCUCCACAUCAAGUGGUGUCCAACUGCCCUGUCCAAUCAGAGCAGAGCUUCAGUCCCUAAGAAGCGACCACUACAGAGUCAACGCCCCCCCUUUCUCAAGACACACUUGUUCAGAGCUCACCUAGACUCUGCAUAGCUCCCCCCUUGACACCCCCACACCCCUCUUUACGCAUUUAUUGUAUGUUGUACGUCCUGGCACUUAUUGUACACACUUAUUGCAUGUUGCAAAAAGUAACUUAUUGCAUCCUUGCACUUAAAAAUAGAACCUAGCAUCGUGUAGCAUCUUUUCCUAGCUAUCUUCUGUUUUUUUUACACAGGGAAUGGGUUAACCUAGUGAUUGUUGCUUGCCAAUUUGUUCUAUAAACAUCCUUACUGUACCGAAAGCCAUAUAUUGUUGCUCUCUUUCUUCUGUCAAAUGUACUUAUUGCACAUUUGUAUACGUCACUUAAAAUAAAAGUGUCCGCUAAACGCCCUAAAUGUAAACGUAAAUGUCGUCUGUCUUAGUUCAUUGAUUUCCGUCGAGUUGCAAAGAAAAUGGUUCAUGACGCAUUAUUCUGAACACCGGUCUGUUCUUCUCAACACAGACCUGUUCUUCUGAAGAGAGAGCUGUUCUUCUGAGUAUGGCUCGCUUCUUCUGAACACAGACCUGUUCUUCUGAACAGAGCUGUUCUUCUGAACACAGAGCUGUCUUCUGAAAACUGGUCUGUUCUUCUGAACACGGCCCUGUUCCUCUGAACACAGAGCUGCUCUUCUGAACACCGUUCUGUUCUUCUGAACACAGAGCAGUUUUUCUGCUCCGUUAUAGCAGCCCAGCCUUCAUAAUGAUGAUGUUGGGUCAAAAUAAAUUUGCUACACGGAAAACGAUUAGUUGGCCACCAGAAUGCUCUCUGUGGACGCUUAGGAAAAACAGAACGAUUUAGAAAGGGCUUCGGUCACAAAGUAUUAAAUCAGUUCCACUCGGUCAGAAGCACAUAACCCCCCCCCCUCUUCCGGCAGAGGAGGUCGGAGAACGCGGCAAACAAACAAACAACCGGGGCCGCUGGAGAGGGAGAAGUGCCUUUCCAGGAUGAUUCAGAGGAUAAAAAGCCCCAAAUCAUUUGGGUUCGUGUAGAUUCAUCCUUCUGUUGAUGCCCUUCAUCAUCCCGGAAGUCAAGCAGCAACUUUAAUUGCAGCAAUUUUAUGCGCAUACAUUUUUUUUAUGUCCAUCUUCUAUGUAUGAUUAUUCCUCCAUUCAUCAACCUAGAGACAUGGAUGUACUGGAGCCAACUCUGUUGUUCACUACAGUAACCCUGGGGAGGGGGGGGACAGUACGUCAUCACGACUGAUCACAGUUAAUGAUCACAGUUACUGAUCAGUUACUGUGAUCAUUAACUGUGAUCAGUUACUGUGAUCAGUAACUGUGAUCAGUAACUGAUCAGUAACUGUGAUCAGUAACUGUGAUCAGUAACUGCGAUCAUUAACUGUGAUCAGUGACUGUGAUCAGUAACUGUGAUCAGUAACUGAUCAGUAACUGUGAUCAGUAACUCUGUGAUGAGGAACUGUGAUCACAAACUUUAAGGCAACACAUCCCUCUCUCAGCACCACUCACUGAUGAGGAGCUCUUUGAGUCCCUGAAGAUCAGCCGAUAUCAGGCCUACGUCUUCAGUCAAACCUCCGGGCGGAGAAGGCUGGCUGGCAACAGACGAACGAUGAACUCAAAGAAAACAAAAUGUCCUCCAAUGUGGCUGGGGAUGAAACGGUCCACCGAAAGUCUUUCAUGUCAGCAUAACAAGCAUGUUUCCUGGUGUCAGGGCUUAGGUCUAAACUGAGAGGGGGGGGGGGUUCCGUUGUGAUGUUUGGGGCUGAGGUUUUGAUUAGUCGACUCAUCUCAGCAGGCCCCGCCCCCUUCGUAAGCCUCCACAUCCUGGUCGCCCCCGACUUCCCCACACAUCGGUUAUCAUCUGCCGGCGGUGCUCAAACAAGGGCGGCAUGUUGCUUAUGAGGUGGAGCAGGUUGUCCGGCAACCGGAAGGUCGCUAGUUCGAUCCCCGGCUCCUCCUAGCUGAGGGUUGAGGUGUCCCUGAGCAAGGCGCCUCGACCUAACUGCUCCCAACGAGCUGGCUGUCAUCUUGCAUGGCUGACACCACCAUCGGUGUGUGAAUGUGUGCGAUAGUGUAUAGCGCUAUGAGUGGCUAAUGGUUAGAAAAGCGCUCUCUCGAACACAAGGAGGACGACCCCAUGAGGAAGAGGACGCCAACGGACACAAGGCGGCCCCAGGUGAUCUCCCGAGCCACAGGUUGGGAACCACUGGGCCGGUUCUCCGUGUUCUGACGGGCUCCGGCUCCACCUCCUCCGGUUUCUGGUGCAUUAGGAGGAGCAGGGUUCUUGGAACGAUGUGCCUUUUUUUUUUCAGGGGAAAAAUGCCAGCACCUCCCAACCCUAACACCUUGGGUCCAUAGAGUGAAGUAAAGGCGAUCUGACUGGCCUUUACUGCUCCCCACACAGCUGGACGUUGCCGUGCCAAAACGACUAGCCGUUGACCCAGAGCUGCCAAACUUGUCAUUUCAUUGGCAAUGAAUUAAAAACAAAAUGAAACCCAAAAGGCAGAGGAAACCAAAAAGGCAGAAUUCCACUCUAGCUUUUUAACUGUUGUUGAAACUGGCAACCGGUCAACUGCGUUGCCAAGGUUAGCCUCUGCUAGAAAUGCACAAGGAUAAUUUUCUAUUUUUAAACGUUGCUGUGUAUAUGAUUCAAAUAAUUUUUUGGCUGUUUUUCUCUUAACCUGAGUCGCUACGCACCUAGCUACUCGUGCCCAACAGCCAGGUUGCAUACACUGCAUUAGCUACAUUAGCAAUAACAGCUACAUCGUACACAACAACAAUACCUACAUUAGCAACAUUAGCUACGGUACCCAGCAUCAUUACAAAUGCCUAGAUUAGCCACAUCAUAAACAAUAGCCAAAUCAGCUACAUUAGCCACACAAGCUACAUUAUCAAUAUUAGCUACAUUAGCUGCAUUCAUUUUAAUAGUUUAAUCAGCUGCAUAUUCUACCAACUAAGCUACAUUGGCAUCCUUCUCUAGAUUUGCAACAUCACACAACACAACAUGAGGAAAGCAUUGUAUCUUCCUGGUCGUAUAAUCUGUAAUUACUUAUUAUUAAUUAUUAUUAAUCACUUAUGCUGGUCUAUGUGCAGGUGAUCAACACAGCAAACAUGCUCUGCUUAGAACCUCCAUCGCAGGAAACCAAAAUCAACACAGGUUCAAAACUCGAGACAAGUGUUCUCAAAUGCCACGCUAACUAAUGAUGUUCUAUAUUUCUGUUCAAACUUAUAUUGUAUUUUAUUUUAAUUAAAUUGUAUUUUAUUCCUUUUGAAGCACAGAUGUACC
ensembl:lncRNA